UAAGACGUAGGGGGCGAGCGUUGUCCGGAUUUACUGGGCGUAAAGAGCGCGUAGGCGGUCUGUUAAGUCAGAAGUGAAAUCUCCAGGGCUCAACCCGGAAACUGCUUUUGAUACUGAUAGACUUGAGUGUCGGAGAGGUAACUGGAAUUCCUGGUGUAGCGGUGACAUGCAUUGAUAUCAGGAGGAACACCCAUGGCGAAGGCAGGUUACUGGCCGACAACUGACGCUGAGGCGCGAAAGCGUGGGUAGCAAACAGAAUUAGAUACUCUGGUAGUCCACGCCCUAAACGAUGGAUACUAGACGUCAGGGGUAUCGACCCCUCUGGUGUCGCAGCUAACGCAAUAAGUAUCCCGCCUGGGGACUACGGCCGCAAGGUUG
rnacentral:rRNA from 1 species